CAGUCGCCGCGGUAAUACGUAGGGUGCAAGCGUUAAUCGGAAUUACUGGGCGUAAAGCGUGCGCAGGCGGUUCUAUAAGACAGAUGUGAAAUCCCCGGGCUCAACCUGGGAACUGCAUUUGUGACUGUAGAGCUGGAGUGCGGCAGAGGGGGAUGGAAUUCCGCGUGUAGCAGUGAAAUGCGUAGAUAUGCGGAGGAACACCGAUGGCGAAGGCAAUCCCCUGGGCCUGCACUGACGCUCAUGCACGAAAGCGUGGGGAGCAAACAGGAUUAGAUACCCGAGUAGUCCCUGUCUCUUAUAC
rnacentral:rRNA from 1 species